GAAGCUUCCUUCCAUCAGGGUGGGGAGAAGGGCUCUGGCCAGCACGCAGGAGAAGGAGGGCCCAGUGAGGACUCCAGCCUGGACCCCCAG